CCUACGGGACGCUGCAGUGAGGAAUAUUGGUCAAUGGGCGGGAGCCUGAACCAGCCAAGUCGCGUGAGGGAAGACGGUCCUAUGGAUUGUAAACCUCUUUAGGCGGGGAGCAAUGCCGGUCACGCGUGCCCGGCGGGAGAGUACCCGCAGAAUAAGCAUCGGCUAACUCCGUGCCAGCAGCCGCGGUAAUACGGAGGAUGCGAGCGUUAUCAGGAUUUAUUGGGUUUAAAGGGUGCGUAGGCGGAGCGUUAAGUCAGGGGUCAAAUUGAGGGGCUCAACCCCUUCCCGCCAUUGAAACUGGCGCUCUUGAGUGGAAGAGAAGUAUGCGGAAUGCGUGGUGUAGCGGUGAAAUGCAUAGAUAUCACGCAGAACCCUGAUUGCGAAGGCAGCAUGCCGGCUUCCUACUGACGCUGAAGCACGAAAGCGUGGGGAUCGAACAGGAUUAGAUACCCGUGUAGUC
rnacentral:rRNA from 1 species